CCUACGGGAGACAGCAGUAGGGAAUCUUCCACAAUGGGCGCAAGUCUGAUCGAGCAACGCAGCGUGGAUGAAGACGGUCUUCCGAUCGUUAAACUCCUUUUUUAUAGAAGUAAGUGCGUGCGCGUGACUGUUCACGUUUCUACAGUAUCUAACCAGAAAGCCACGGCUAACGACCUGCCAGCCGCCGCGAUACUACGUAUGUGGCCAGCGUUAUCCGGAUUUAUUGGGCGUAAAGGGAUCGCAGGCGGUCUUUUAAGUCUGAUGUGAAAGCCUUCGGCUUAACCGGAGUAGUGCAUUGGAAACUGGGAGACUUGAGUGCAGACGAGGAGGGUGGAACUCAAGGUGUAGCGGUGAAAUGCGUAGAUAUAAGGAAGAACACCAGUGGCGAAGGCGAGUGUCUGGGCUGUAACUGACGCUGAGGUUCGAAAGCGUGGGUAGCAAACAGGAUUAGAUACCCUUGUAGUC
rnacentral:rRNA from 1 species